rnacentral:misc_RNA from 1 species
CCACAAUAUCACCCAUCCGUCUCUAACUAUCAUUGCUACUGGUCGGAACAACUACAGAGGCUGCAGCAACUGCUGCUUGUGAAGCACGAGAGACCAUCAGCAAACAUAGGGAGGGAGGGCCCAGCGACAGACGAACAAGGGCCGAAGCUGUUCCGCACGGCACCGGUGGGUUCAGCCUUUCACCGCUUCUUGUCUUAUUAUUAUCGCUAUUGGCAGAAAGCUCUCUUCUCUUUCCCUCUCUCCAUCUAUGGGACUGCGACUCGAGCAGCCAUCAUAGAAAACCGUGCACUCACUGCAGCACACAGAGAGAGAGGGCGCUUCAGAUAGGCACAUGCUCCGAAACUCUCUCUGCACCCCCCCCUCCCACACCUUCCUUGCUUCGUUAUCGCUUGCACAACCUUGCGCGCGCGUGUUGAUAGUGUUUCUGCAUUGUCUUCUCAUCGGGUUUUCCUUUUUUUUUGUGCGCACCCUUUAUUUCGUUUCCCUAACGUAUGCGAUUCCUGGCAAAGGCGGUCACCACCUCUGCUGUCACGCUUGGCGUAGGGGCGGUGGCUUUGCUGUAUUGUCAGCGCGCCAGAAACCCAGGCGCGGCAGCGGGGACGAGUGAGGUGACGAAGGAGCUCUCGGCGAAGGAGUUUAAUGGACUGCAGAACGCGAAGCGGCUGAAGGAGGCGCUGGCACCGUCGCACCUGCCGUGGACCUUUCAUGCGCAGAAAGCCCGGUACACGAACCUUCGCGAGCUUACAACACAGAUCUCGCAGGAGACUGCAGCCGCGAAGCCGCCCGGAGGGCGAGCUUACACAGCCUCCUCGUCAGAUAUGAAGCUCAUUUUCUACCGCCUCCUCGGUUGCCCGUACUGUGCCAAGGUGGAGGCUGUGUUGCAGUACCACGAUGUCCCAUAUGUAGAGGUGCGCGUUGAUCCGCUGAGCGGCAAAGGACUGCCAGACCGUCGGUAUCAACUUGCUCCGCAGCUGUACCUGGCCCCCUUGGCAGAGCACAACAGCGGCGGCGCCGAGGCAGCAGCCACAGAUAGCAAUGGCGUGUAUUUGGUGGACUCCGCGGAGAUCGUGUCUCAGCUUUCCGGGCCGCUGAAGUACGCAGCAGACAUUGUCAAUCCGCACGUCAGCGCAACCCGAGACUGGAUUACGAACCACUUCCACGGUGCCUCCUUUGCCAUCACGAACAACUCCUUCCGCGAUGCCUACGCGACGUACACGUAUGUGACGCCGAGCAACUAUCAGAACUUCCUCUACCAUGUCGCUGGUAGUGCCGCACUAUCGGUGCUCUCGCGGUACAAGGUCCAGCCGAGGCUUAUUGCAAAGAUGGAGUGCGCUGACGGCCCGGCCACUGCCGCACCGACAGGCGCCCCGGCGAGCACGGACUCGAAUGGGCUGUGGAUGCUGUCGGAGGCAUCGCGCAGGGCACUCGCGGCGACGGUGCGCUUCGGCGCAGUGGAGGAGUGGCUGCGGGCUGAGCUGCAAACGUUUCUGCAGCGCCGCCCGAACGGCAAGGUGUUUCACGGCGGCAGCAGCCCCGACCUGGCAGAUGUGGAGAUGUACGGGGUGACGCGAGUGGUAGACCAGCACCCACGACUCGGCGCUGUGGUGCGCGAGGGCGCCUUUGGCGAGUGGCAGACCGCAAUGCAGGAGAAGCUGAAUGCGAAUACAGGAUCGGUGUACGCCUAAGGUUAAGCAGAGGUGAUGUAAUGUGCAUCUGUGUGCGUGGGUGUUUGGACUGCUGAGCUUUUUUUUUGUGCUUAGGGGACUCGUGGCGGGAGAUGGAUGCUCUCGCCCCUUGUCUCGCUUUCACAACGCAUAUCAGCACGCUCGCUGUGCCUCUGACACGCAGAGCAUCCCCCUCUUCUUGUGUGUUGCGACACACACACAUACACAUAUUCGUCACAAAGAUCUCCGUUUCGUUUUGUCUUUCGCUUGCGUAUCUUGUGCGGCUAACUGAAGCACAUGAUGGCACUGGCGCAGACACCACCACCACCACCUUCUCGACCCACCACCGUGCGCGUUCUGCGCUCGCCUGUCCUCUCUCUAUCCCUUUUCGUUUUACUGUGGAUACUGCCACUGCGUGUACGGUGGCUAAACCCGCUAGCCCGGGCGUCUCUGCGCUUGCAUUUGUUUGUGUGCGCGUUAAGAAGGUCGAGAAAGAGGAAGGCAUGCAUGGCUGUUCGACACGCACACGCACACGCACGCGCCUCCAGCCCUCAUUCUCCAAAACUC